rnacentral:rRNA from 1 species
GACAGAGGGUGCAAACGUUGUUCGGAAUUACUGGGCGUAAAGCGUGCGCAGGCGGUUUUGUAAGUCUGUCGUGAAAGCCCCGGGCUCAACCUGGGAAUUGCGAUGGAGACUGCAAGGCUAGAAUCUGGCAGAGGGGGGUAGAAUUCCACGUGUAGCAGUGAAAUGCGUAGAGAUGUGGAGGAACACCGAUGGCGAAGGCAGCCCCCUGGGUCAAGAUUGACGCUCAUGCACGAAAGCGUGGGGAGCAAACAGG